rnacentral:rRNA from 1 species
GACGAACGCUGGCGGCGUGCUUAACACAUGCAAGUCGAACGGAAAGGCCCUGCUUUUGUGGGGUGCUCGAGUGGCGAACGGGUGAGUAACACGUGAGUAACCUGUCCUUGCCUUUGGGAUAACCUCAGGAAACUGGGGCUAAUACCGGAUAGGAGCUCCUGCUGCAUGGUGGGGGUUGGAAAGUUUCGGCGGUUGGGGAUGGACUCGCGGCUUAUCAGCUUGUUGGUGGGGUGGUGGCUUACCAAGGCUUUGACGGGUAGCCGGCCUGGGCGGGUGACCGGCCACAUUGGGACUGAGAUACGGCCCAGACUCCUACGGGAGGCAGCAGGGGGGAAUAUUGCACAAUGGGCGGAAGCCUGAUGCAGCAACGCCGCGUGCGGGAUGACGGCCUUCGGGUUGUAAACCGCUUUCGCCUGUGACGAAGCGUGAGUGACGGUAAUGGGUAAAGAAGCACCGGCUAACUACGUG